CGCUGAAUUGGACGCGCACUGGCGGUAGCAAUCAGGGACAGCUCUACUACGGGAUAGGUGUUGAGACAGAGCAAGGGGUGGCGAAGUGAGUGCCCCUACAUCGAACGACUGACGGGU
rnacentral:ncRNA from 1 species